CAUUUAGCUCAGGGCCAAUCUUCUUCACCGAAAAAAGAAAAGCACACCUAUAAAAAAAUUUACUUAAAAAAAACAAGACGUGCAUACACACACUCUCCAGUCAACACCGGGCCCCUUUCCUGGGUGCAGGCGGGCUCCUGCGGCACCAGCAGGCUGCCCAGCUCCCCGCCGGCAUCUCCCUCAUCUGUGGGCUCCCGGAAGGACUAAAAGUGGCCGCACCAAGGAGCAUGGCACACAUGCCCGCCUUGCUUUCUAAUUGCCGUUCUUCAGCCAUUUAUGGAGAAACCUGGAGCCCUGCAGACCUGGGUGUGUGCCCUGAGGCGCCCAGUCUCGCAGAGCCUGCCCCCACCAUCUCCCGGGGGCUCCGCAGGACGUGCUCUCCCUGGGACCCGGCUGAGGGAGCCCUGCCAGGCGCUCUCGGGUUGGGAGCAUCAGGGUUUGGGACUGAACGCGCAGGAACCCCACAUACGUGGGACGGUUCCCAUCUUGGGGCAGGGGGCUGGGGGAAGGUGCCCUGUAGCCCGGACCCCCGCGAUCACAUUCGGGCCCAUUGUGUCUCCCCUCGGAGCCCAGGUUCCCUGUUUCUGAGACAACGUCCGUGACAGGGUCUGCUGCCUGGCGGGGGCCCAGCGAGGACGAGCUCUGUCUGCUUCGUUCUGACGACGUCUCUCUGCACACCUGUGCCUUUGGCAGGAGAUUCCCUGAGCCUGGGUGGGUGAUGGUGGGUGCCUGUUUCUCUUCUGGAUGCAGAAGCAAAAGACAGGGCAACAGACCACGGGAAGCAGGGCAUGUGGACAUGCGGUCAAACCCGUGUCAACCCUGUGGCCCCACAGGAACCGCCAAGUGGCGGCCGUGUGGACGACUGGGACAUGUCAAUAAGCAAGCACGGAGUCUGAUCACAUGCCCGUUAUUGCGAGUUGGGGUUUUGUUUUCUGCAACCCCGCAAGUCCUGGAGCUCCCUACCUGGAGCUUCCCCCUUGACAUCACCUGAAGCAGAACCACGUGGAGGACGCUGGGCCCAGAGGUCUCUGUAAAGCAGCUCCAUGGAGCUCCCGGCCGUAUCGCCAGUGCCCAGAGGGUCAGGGACCACACAAGGGACGUGAGCAAAGCUGUCAGGGCCCGGGGACUCUGCGGACGGAUGGCGCCUCACACCCGGGGAGCAGAGGGCACACGGGUUAAGCCAGCACCCUCCUUAGAGCCAGCCUGGCAGGCCCAGGCACACAUGCUGGCCCCGGGCGGCCUUGCCUCCCUCUCGCGGUCCUGCCUUGCAGGCGCGAUUCCACCCACGCAGAAGUCCUCCUCUGUAUGCGCCUGCGACUCGAGGCCCUGAUCUUCCCUGACCCUUCUGGGGGCUGCCGCAGCCUCGCACAGCAACCUGUGGCCGUCCCAAGACGAGUCCCAGGAGCUGGCAACCGCACCGGAAAAUUCCAAAGGCCCAGGAGGCUGUCAGAAACUGUGAUGUGUGAUAAAAACCCCCAAAUGUUCCAGGACAGGAAACCGGUUCAACCAUCAGCGUUUCCCGCGCCGACGGCGGCUUCAGACCUAACCGGCUCACAGCCAUGCACCUGCGGGAGCCGUCGAUUGAUCUGACAAGGGGCUGAAACAUGUCUUGGCAAGUGGCAGUUGGCAGAGAUGUGAGCGAAAGCUGAUGAUUCAUCCCCACCGUGAUCCGGGCAUGUGCUCCUCACGUCCAGCUGGACGCUAGCGUCUCCACCUCACGCUCCUUAGACGCUGCCCUCCUGGGGGCUGCGAGACUCCAGCAGUGCUGUGACCUUCCUGACUGGGGACCCUCCGCCCCUCCCGGGGCAGCCGCCUCUGGGAGACAGCAUGCCUUGCUGGACACGUCCCUUGUGUGCCAACUGACCAUCUAGCGUCCAUGGCCCCGUCGCCUUCCAUCUGACUCUCACACCGUGCCGGUGUUGCCCCCACCCUGAAUCAGCAACCAGAGAUGACCUCAGCUCCGAGCCGGCUGGAAUUAAAAAGCUGCCCUGCCUUUCCUGCAGAAACUCCAAUAAGGCUCCCACCUUGGGCUUCCCCUCGCUCGCUCCUGCUUCUGCCCCCUGACCCAAACCUGGUGCUCCCCUUGUGGCCCUGCACAGUGUGGCGUGUCCCCUCCUCUCGGGAAAUGUAAGUGACAAAGAUCUCCUUUCAAUGGCCUUGGCCUCUCCAGGUCAUCACUCACACUCUUAUAAGUUAAACCCCAGAUACAAUUUUAAUACAGUGUAUGUGUGUAUGUGGCUCACUUUUGUCACUUAAAUUGUGACAUGGGUAUUUUCCAGCGUCAUUAAUGUUCUUUUUAAAUGUAAUUCUGAAUGAGUGUAUAAUAUCCUCUCCUAUGGAUAUACCCGAACCUCUCUCUCUCUCUCUCUCACUGUAUUUGGUUUGCUUCCAUUUAUUUUUUAAUCACCCCAAGAUGAAUACUUUUGUGCAUCCGUAUUUUCCCAUGUUUUGGGAUCUUUCCUCAGGUGGACGAUCAGAAAUAGAAGCCCUAGAUGGAAGGGACAUUUUCAGGUGGGGUGUUCGUGUUGACAAUGUCCUCCAGAGUCUGUGUGCGUUUAUGCUGCCACCACGGCCAGUGCUGAGCAUCCUCGGUUACGUGAAGCGUCACCAACUGGACAGGGAGGACGCAGUGUUGUGACCUGUGUCCCUCUGGCUCCUGGUAAAGUUGAACUCUGCUCCUGUGUUCCAUGGUCGCUGACAUUUACUUUCUUGGGAAUUCCCUAGUUCUAGCCUUGGCUUGUCCUUCAAAUUGUGUCACUGAGACUUUCGUUUUCAACUUGGAGAAGUUCUUUGCACCUUAAGGGGAUUGUUAUGAGUUGAUUUAUGUCCCCCAUAUUCAUAUGUUGAUGCCCUAAUGCCCAAUAUCUCAGAACGUGACCUUUUUUUGGAAAUAGAGUCCUUGCCGAUGUAAUCGUUAAGAUAGGUCCUAUGAAGAAGGGUGGGCCCCUAAUCCAAUAGGACUGUGUCCUUAUAGAAAGGGGACAUUUGGGCAAAGACACACACACAGGGAGAAGGCCAUGUGGAGAUGGAGGCAGAGACUGGGGAGUGCUUCUACAAGCCAACGAACGCCAAAGAUUGCCUGCAAAGCAUGUGAAGCCGGGAGAAACGUGGGACAGAUCCUCCCUCCCAGGCCCUAGAAGGGACCAGCCCUGCCCACCCCCGAUCUCGGGCUUCUGGCCUCCAGACCAAGACAGUCCACUUCUGCUGUUUCAGCCACAGUUUGUGGUCCUUUGUUACGGCAGCCCCAGCAACCGAAUACCAGGAUGAAACCCACGUCUGCAGCGCUUGCCCACACGUUCUCCGGUUCUGCCAUGUGGAGGAGGAAAGGCAUUUCCGGUCCUCUCUCCCCAGGGACCCUGAGGUUCUCAGGGCUGGCCCUGCAUGUCUCAUGUCACGGAGACAGUGGGCUGCCUGCUCCACUUUCCUCCUGGAAAGGAGCCCGAGAUGACACGACACAAACAGCCCUCAGUCUCAAUCCCUCCUUCCGUGGCCCCUGCUGCGUUUGUCACCCUAGUGACUGUGGAGAGCCACCUGACGGGGACCUCCAGCUACAGCAUUUGAUGGUCCCGUCGUUCUCAGAAGUGAAUCUUAGAUAAGAGAUGCAUAUGCCCAGUUCUAGCAAAGAGUCAAAGAUGGAGCUGCUUUUGCCACCAGGUUGGGCUGAUUCCAUGAUGCUGAACAAGGGCCUCAGAACAAGAAGUGGCCGACCCAGCACAGAUGUCUAAGCUGAGAAUGGUGUGGGCACAGAGAACGGCAGAGUGUGGACACAGGGUGUUCACGCCAGUGCAGACCCAGGAGGCCUCAGGGCCUCGAAUGUGCUGGGUCAGAGCCAACAGGCCCAUCCACACGCAUGCCAGUGUUGACAAUGUAGCAAGAUGGACGUGGUUUCUACUCCAUGCUGUGCUGUGUGUCGCCUGCCUCUGCUCUCCUCCCCAUUCCCGCUAUGCACCAUGUUUCCUAAGGGCCAAGGGGCUGCAAGCUCAUGCCAUGAGCGCCAGUGCCCAUCGGUGGCUCUGCUCUGGGAGAGCCAGAAGAAUGUAGGGGAAGGAUCCACUCUCCCCGCUUCAAGUUGGCAUCAGUGGCCACCAGGAUCAGGGCAGACGUCCCUGUCCUGCUCAAGGUGGCCCCUCAUCAGUACACCCAGGACCAACGGCAUCUCAGCUCCAACAGCUGGAGCAGCGCAGGCUCAGCGGGGCCGAGGGCAGCUCCUGCCACCGGGAGUGCCACCUGCCUUUCCCUCCUCCAAGCCCCCAUUCUCCCUCUGCUCCCCCAGCACCCAGGGAGCCAAUUCCUGGUGCUGAAGUCCCCUCUGUGGAACACCAGCUGGAUUUCCUGACAGCACCCUGACUGUGGGCGUACUGUUCUUAGUGAAGCCACAAACCACUGAGUGAAGGAGCUCCUCCGGGCCAGGGGGAGCCAGAGCCGUGUGCCACAUGGUCAUGCCCGAGCACCACCGCCACAUCCUCCUGCAAGUACAGAUGCAAGCGCCAUGCGCCCGCAUCGCCCCUCCGGCCUCGCCCUGCAGAUCCACGUGCCCAUGCGCACCGUGGCAUAUCGCUGUGUCGCAGUGUCAUUUUCAGCAGCAAACUCCCGGAUUCAACCUAAGUAUCUGUGAUUGUUAAGAAUCGCUUUGCAAAGGAGAAGGGACUCUGGCAUUCACUAUUCGCUGAAAAAACAAAAACGCAGGAGGGCACUUGUCACUGCCACCAUCCCUGAAUAAAGGAGGUAAGAUCA